ACGCUGGCGGCAGGCCUAACACAUGCAAGUCGAGCGGUAGAGAGAAGCUUGCUUCUCUUGAGAGCGGCGGACGGGUGAGUAAUGCCUAGGAAUCUGCCUGGUAGUGGGGGAUAACGUUCGGAAACGGACGCUAAUACCGCAUACGUCCUACGGGAGAAAGCAGGGGACCUUCGGGCCCUUGCGCUAUCAGAUGAGCCUAGGUCGGAUUAGCUAGUUGGUGAGGUAAUGGCUCACCAAGGCGACGAUCCGUAACUGGUCUGAGAGGAUGAUCAGUCACACUGGAACUGAGACACGGUCCAGACUCCUACGGGAGGCAGCAGUGGGGAAUAUUGGACAAUGGGCGAAAGCCUGAUCCAGCCAUGCCGCGUGUGUGAAGAAGGUCUUCGGAUUGUAAAGCACUUUAAGUUGGGAGGAGGGGCAUUAACCUAAUACGUUAGUGUUUUGACGUUACCGACAGAAUAAGCACCGGCUAACUCUGUGCCAGCAGCCGCGGUAAUACAGAGGGUGCAAGCGUUAAUCGGAAUUACUGGGCGUAAAGCGCGCGUAGGUGGUUUGUUAAGUUGGAUGUGAAAUCCCCGGGCUCAACCUGGGAACUGCAUUCAAAACUGACUGACUAGAGUAUGGUAGAGGGUGGUGGAAUUUCCUGUGUAGCGGUGAAAUGCGUAGAUAUAGGAAGGAACACCAGUGGCGAAGGCGACCACCUGGACUAAUACUGACACUGAGGUGCGAAAGCGUGGGGAGCAAAC
rnacentral:rRNA from 1 species